AUCAGGGAGCACACCACAGGGCUCCCGGGGACAAUGACCACCUCUGCGGCACCCCUGAAGACAGAUACCAUAUGGCUGCCAUGCUGAACCCAGUCCAGGCCCCAUCAUGGCCUGACCCAGAUGACCAGGAGAAAUCAAGCUGGCAGGAGGGUGCGCAUAGUGAAGCUGGAAUAAUGCCCCAAACACAGGCUGGCUCUCAGCAGGGCCAGCCUUCCCAGCCACGACCCCGCUCCUCACCAUCCCUGCCCAGUGGCCCUAGGCACCUACCUUCUCCCAACCCUGCCUGGGCUCUCAACCAAAAUGUAAUGAGGCAGGUACGAUUGUUCCCAUUUGCAUUUGACAAGAAGGGACUCACAGAGGGGCCCAAGGCCACGUGAGUGUCACAGGGAAACAGGAUUUGAAUCCAGCAGGCUGCCUCCCUCUAGUGCAACCCCAAGACUGACCUGGCUCUGAUCUCAAGGCAGAUCAACUCCAAGUUCAAAAGGAAGGGGGACGAGAGCUCACCUGUGCAAUUGGCCUGAGAGCCGCAGAGGUCAGUGGUCCAAGGCUGGAGACUUGCAGAGUAGAGGACAAAGGGCGGUGGAGCAGGGGCUGCUCCAGGCCUUGGUCAUCACAACAGCUGCCAGGAGGCCACAGAUGUAGCAGAAAGAGCAGAAGCUUCAGAAUCAGAAUCAGACAUACCUGCUUGACUACUCAUAAGCCAUAUGACUCUGAACAGAUCAGUCAACCUCUUGGACCAUCAAUUUCUCUACCUGUAAAAUGGGGAUGAGAGUAAUAAUAAGAGGACCUACCUUUCAGGGCUGAGCAUGGGUUCUCUGUGAAAACGCUGCUGGAGAAGUACACAGCGGAGCCCAUCGAUGACUCAUCGGAGGAGUUUGUCAAUUUUGCAGCCAUUUUAGAGCAGAUCCUCAGCCACCGCUUCAAAGGUCCAGUGAGCUGGUUCAGCUCAGACGGGCAGCGGGGCUUCUGGGACUAUAUCCGGCUGGCCUGCAGCAAAGUGCCCAACAACUGUGUGAGCAGCAUCGAGAACAUGGAGAACAUCAGCACAGCCCGGGCCAAGGGCCGGGCAUGGAUCCGGGUGGCACUGAUGGAGAAGCGCAUGUCAGAAUACAUCACCACGGCUCUGCGUGACACCCGGACCACCAGGUCAGACUUCCCAGGCAACUCAGACCACAGGUCUCAGGGUGCACCUGCAUUGCCCAAACACAGCUGAUCCUUAAGUUCCUGCAGCAUCCUUCAGUUCCUGGACUACAAGUCCCAGCACCAGCACGCAUGGCUGAUUUCCCUCUUCCAGCCUGGCCUGCAGUCCCAGGACGAACUCUUUUUUUUUUUUUUUGAGGAGGAGUUUCGCUCUUGUUGCCCAGGCUGGAGUGCGAUGGCGCGAUCUCGGCUCACUGCAACCUCCGCCUCCUGGGUUCAAGCGAUUCUCCUGCCUCAGCCUCCUGAGUAGCUGGGAUUACAGGCAUACGCCACCAUGCCCAGCUAAUUUUGUAUUUUUAGUUUCUCCGUGUUGGUCAGGCUGGUCUCAAACUCCCAACCUCAGGUGAUCCUCCCGCCUUGGCCUCCCAAAGUGCUGGGAUUACAGGCAUGAGCCACCGCUCCUGGCCCCAGGACAAACUUUUACCACCACCACCACCACCACUUGCAAGUCAAAUCUAAUGCCCAUUAUUCGCCAUCAAUGCCCAGCACGCUCCACCCUUGCACACCUCUGGAUGAGCCUCAGCCAUGCACCAUCUCAAGUGUUGGCUUGCUCCAUGAUCUACAACACAGCCCUUCUGUCUCUCCAAACAACGAAAGCAGUUCUGUACUUGCUAUUCACGGACACAGAGUCCUUAUAUGGGGAGUUCAAUCCCUGCACUGUGGGUUCACAGGGAGGUUGGGUGCCUGAGGCAAGGGGUUACAAGGAGGAGUGUGCCUGUGUGGGCAGGUGCAUCUGAAGCUGUCUGGUUGUGGCGGGGGGCAUAUACCUCCCCAUCCCAAUUGGCCAUACCCAGCCUGAUGUUUUUACUGAAUUCCAUUCCUCAGUCUACACGUUUCAAGUUAACACGUUUUUUGCGCACCUACUGUAUACCAAGCACUAAUGAUUAAGACUUGCUUCCUGAUAUGAAGGAUCUGGGUAACCCAGUACUUGAUGAGGAAGGGGUAGGUCAGAGGGAGGAGUCGGCUCAGGGAACACCCAUUCUAGGUGAUGGGGCCACAGGUGCGAGCCCCAGGCUGAAGGGGGAGAGAGGCUCCAGGCCUGCGUGCAGAUCAGGAAGGAGAAUUGGCCUUCCUUCAGGAUGGGGUGGCAGUAAGCCAACAAUAGCAGCUCUGGGUGGGGGGGGGGGGCGCUCCAGGGGCCUGCUGCACCCUCAGGCCCUCUGCCUCCCCACAGACGGUUCUAUGACUCUGGAGCCAUCAUGCUGCGGGAUGAAGCCACCAUCCUCACCGGAAUGCUGAUCGGACUGAGCGCCAUCGACUUCAGCUUCUGUCUAAAGGGGGAAGUCCUGGACGGGAAGACCCCCGUGGUCAUCGAUUACACGCCCUACCUAAAGUUCACGCAGAGCUACGACUACCUGACGGACGAGGAGGAGCGGCACAGCGCCGAGAGCAGCACGAGCGAGGACAACUCGCCCGAGCACCCGUACCUGCCGCUCGUCACCGACGAGGACAGCUGGUACAGCAAGUGGCACAAGAUGGAGCAGAAGUUCCGCAUCGUCUACGCGCAGAAGGGCUACCUGGAGGAGCUGGUGCGUCUGCGCGAGUCGCAGCUGAAGGACCUGGAGGCGGAGAACCGGCGGCUUCAGCUGCAGCUGGAGGAGGCGGCGGCGCAGAACCAGCGCGAGAAACGGGAGCUGGAAGGCGUGAUCCUGGAGCUGCAGGAGCAGCUGUCUGAUCCCCAGUGACCACGCCCCUCUGGCCCAGGGUUCCAAGGAGCUCACUACACCCCUGGUCAAUCAAUGGCCCUCACUGGGAACGCUUAAUGGGGCCGAGGGCGCCAGCAACUCCAAGCUCUACCGGAGACACAGCUUCAUGAGCACGGAGCCGCUGUCAGCUGAAGCCAGUCUGAGCUCGGACUCCCAGCGCCUGGGAGAGGGCACGCGGGACGAGGAGCCCUGGGGUCCCAUCGGGAAGGACCCCACGCCCUCCAUGCUGGGCCUCUGCGGCUCCCUGGCCUCCAUUCCCAGCUGCAAGUCCCUGGCGAGCUUCAAAUCCAACGAGUGCCUGGUGAGCGACAGUCCCGAGGGCAGCCCAGCACUGAGCCCCAGCUGAGGAACAGCAUGGGCAGUGCCAGCCCCACCUGCCAGGGGCCAUGGACACCUGCCACCUUUCUUCAACAAGAGUCCCCCAAUCCAGGCUACCCUUCCAGAGAACGCUACCCACCCAGCCAGGGUUCUCUCGGGGAAGAUCUCGUCUGCUCACCUUAGCUUUCUGCCUUGGCAGCACGGGCUGCGGAAGAAAGCACGCUGGGCCAGGAGGCAGGGGUGCCCAAGCCACAGGGAGCCCCUGGGGAAGCCUGCUCCAUUCUUCUGGUGACCUUGGCGCUCCUUCACUCAUCUCCCCUGCCCCCUCAGGACCUGGUGGCCCAGCUUCCACACCCCCACCUCCCAGUCUCUAGCCUCUCCAUCUGUCUGUGUAUGGCCUGGAGUCACUCCUUCCUCAGCCCCCAGGGCAAGAGAGCUCUGUGGGGGAUCAGGCAAAUAAAAACCAGAGGACUG
rnacentral:sRNA from 1 species